ACCAUUCAUCUUGAUGAUGUCGAUAUUCAUAUAAUUUUUCAUAUAAAUAAUUUAGUUUCUUUUGGUUUGUGGUGAAAUAUGACCUAAAGGCUUGUUCUUGUUGUGGUUUUGUGUGAUUUAAACAUGCACUGAAGCUCUACAGAUACAAUUUAAUCUGUCAGCACAUUUAGUUGUGCUGGUAUGCUACUCUCUUUCGCUCAUUGUGUUAGAGUAAUAAUAUAGAUUUGAGUCAGUUCAUAGACUUAAACGAGCUAAAAAUGAAAGUACAACUUUAUAAAAUCAGGUUGUAUGCAUUUGAGACACUUUCAGAUAUGUAGCAGGUUUUAAACUGCUCUCCUUUGUUGUUUUGUUGUCGUACACAUACACAGGGACGAGACCCAGUGGCCUCUGUGUUUCCAUAUUUACAUCUAUAAAGUUUUAUAUGGCAGAAAUAACUCGAGUCGUGGCAGUUAUAACCCAACAUAACUCAGCUUUUGUGAGGGGUUCUCAGACAUCCCACCCUAAUGGUUAAUAUAUCAUUAAUAUGGUGUUGUAUGUUCAGCGUUUCACUGUCUGUGGAGUUGUACACAAACCUCAACCUUCAUAAGACUGAUGAGACACUGAAUCCAGAUAGACAAAUAUAACCCAGCAUAAAUGAACAUCAUCAAAAGAUGAUUAAGCUACUGCCUUUUCUGGCUUUCGUGCUUAUGAAUGUGAUCAGAAUUCAUUUUUCCGAACAGAAGAUUGCGCUGGUACGUCGUACAUCUUGCUCAAAUUAAUGCUAUCCAGUCUUGUAAUCACUGGCUGGGAAAUCAUGUUAAAUGAAGAGUAAAAUUAAACAUUAUUAGAUGAAUUGUAAAUCGAAUUGAGUAUUAUUUUUGGUGUCACAUCAUAUUAGUUGAGACUCUGAGAAGCCCUGCGAUAAAUAAGCACAUGUAGAUGCUCAACCGUUUGGACUUUAUUUGCAUGUAAAUUCCAGCUAGCGGCUCUGGUGUGUCUGCGUGGCUGUCGGCUGUUGCUGUUGCUGAGGUUGGUGUUGGUGAGGAUUGGAGUGAAUUGGUGGAUUCAGGCGUGUGUUACACACGAUGAGCUUGACUGACUGAGAAAGAUGCCCUUCCCUCCUCCCUACAGUUCACAGGCAUUACCAUCUUAAUAAGGAGGUUGAUUUCGCCCCCAGGCUGAGGAAAGAGGGGCAGCGAGGCGGUAGGGCAGGUGUGCUUAUGUGGGUAAAGCAGAAUUGACCCCGUCCCAUUAAAGAACAUGGGAUAUAAAGGGCCAGGACAAGUCCUGAAGUCCUGAGGCACAUAUGCAUGUGUGUGUUUCCACUACACUGACAACUUAGAGCCACCCGACUCACCAUUUUACUUCUGUUUCAGAGUAAAAAAUUACAUUUAUGCAUUUGGCAGAUGAAUUUAUCCAAAGCAUUUUGCAUUGCUUUCAAUGCUAUACAUUGUUGGUGUUACUAUUGUCUGAGAUACAGGAAUGUAGAAUAGGUCUCUUUUUUUCCAUUAGUAAUUUAUUAGCUCAUUUCAGAAUGGAGCCAGACUUGAUUGUGAGUUUGCUGAAAUCCAGUACAUCAAAGCAUUAUCCAAUAGCUUAUGUGGCCUAUGGGAUGUCAGCAGAAAAGUAAAAUUGCUUCACAAAUGGAGCAUAAAAAUGGAAUCAAAUAAUAUUGAUUGAUUGAUUUUGUGGUACAACACAAAACGGCAUACAAUAUUUAUUCAUUUGUUUAUUCCUAUAUUAUAGUGUAUCAAAGCUAAUUAACUGUUAGUGUCUUACUAAAUGCAUUUAUUAUUUUAACCAUUUAUUUAUUUAUUUAUUUAUUCAACUUGACAUAACUUGGCAUACAACAAAAGAGAAACACAUAAAAAUGUGUAUAUUUUGUAGCUUGUGGUAACAUCAUCAGCCACUAGGGAUUUUUUUUUUUUUUUUUUUUUGUGCUAGAACACAAAAUGGCAUAAAAUAAUAAAAAAAAAUUAUCUUUAUAGUGUAUAGAAGCUAAAUAAAUGUUAUAUUUUAUAUAACAUUUAUAAAAAAGAAUAUAUAUAUAUAUAUAUUUCUUUUUUUUUUUUAUUAUUAAUUAAUUUAUGCAGCAAAAGGAAAUGCAAGAAAAUGUGUAGCUUAUUCUGUAGCUUAUUUUAACUAUCUUUAAAUGGAUAAAACACUGGCCAUUAAUUGCUGAUAUUGUUUAGUGAAAGCAGAGCCACUAUUUUAAUGAAUAUUACAAAGACAUAGUUAUGAAGUAAGUACAGUCGCUUCUAUUACAGUUAACAAAACAAAAAAUGUUUAACAGUAUUUACAUGUCAUUUCAGUUCUAUUCUUCUAACACCUUCCAAGCCCAGCGAGGGGUCUCACUCUCCACAGAGAAGGGGGAGACAGCUAAUUUCCCACCCUCUCUAAAAGUGAUCCAGAACAAAGAAAUCCAUGUGGGUUUGGAAUGACAUGAUGUGGAGCACGGGGUUAUGAACACACAUGGUGGGAGAGUUUGCACAAGUUCAGUAUCAGGUUCGGAUGAGGAUGAAACUGAUCCAGGAUAUCCCAGCCAAAAGGAUGUGUCUCAUUUUCCAGGGAAUUUCCUCCUCUAUGGACUGCAAGGAAGAGUGGUGGAGCGAUUUGAUAUGUGGGGUGUAUAGGAUAAAGCAGGCCAGAGGGGGUCAUUCACAAGGCUUACUUUACCAGUGUUUCCGGGAAAUGAUCCACCCUGUAAGGCCUCGACAGAACGACCCAAACAUUACUUAACAGCCUGUGGUGAAUGAACUGAACUGUACGGAGGAUUCUUCCAAAAUAAUGUUCUGCUCCAUGGAAACAAAUAACUGCAUUUAUUCUGAAUGAGUUGGACCGACAUGAGGGCUGUCCGUUGGCUGCCGGUGAAUUAUGCCAGAGAAGGGACGAGGCCGUGAAUCAUCACGUCCAGAUCCAGAUGGAAUCUACAGGAAUUUUUUUUAUUUUUUUUUUUGCAUAUGUUGCAACAAUCUACCUGCAGAAUGGAUGUAAACAUGGCCGCCUGAAACCCCUUUGAGGCAACGAUACUUCAUCUUAUCAUGGGCCUGGUGCAGGGCCGCCGAAAUGUGACACAAUGCUCAUUCUGAGGCGUGUGUACGAGAUGAUAAAGCGAGUGCGCUCUCCUCUCAGCGAGGGGCUCAGGUACGGUCCUCAGAGAACACGGCGGAUAAAGACGACGUUCACGCUAGCGAGCCGCUCCGCCACCGUGACACAAACACAUCCGAGCAACAUUUCGAGGUGUGACUCAACACCCAAAACAGCCUCUUUUAUCCAAACGAGAGCGGGCGGCUCCGGCACCAGCCGCACAGAGGCUGAGGUGUGAUUUUCCCAUGUAAAUGGAGGUCAGCGGCAUCUUUAGAAUCUGUGGCCGGUGUGUCUUGGCUGUUUUUGUUUUGUGUGAUUAUGUACUACCCACUGGAAAGUUGCUUAUUUCUGUGUGUAAAUUGGAUGUAGUAUUUUGCAGAAUGGCGCCCCAGGCAUAGUGUGAGGUAUUGAUUGAGUUGGAUGCAAGAAGAGACACAAGAGGAUUCUGGGAAGUGAAAAGUCUGAAAAAACAGAAAACAGAGCAACUAUAGGCGCGUUUUACGUGUUAGGAAGAAAAAAAUCCUCCUGGAGUUGUGAAGAAAGCAACUAAACAAACAGAAUCUGCGCAUGGUGACAGGUGAUGUGCCGUGUCAGAACGAUGCAGAGAAGGAAAGAGGGAAGGAAAACAGAUAUCCUCAUGAUUUCUUUUCAAUACGAUAGGUCUUUUUGAGAUACUUAUAUGUGCA